CCACUGAGUGCCUUGGGAGGUGGCGCCUAGGCCACGGCGGAGCCGCCCCUGCCGCUGCUCACCCGCCCUAGACGCCGCGACUUCUCCGUGGGGCCCGGGAUCCCAGGCUGCGGCCCGGGUGUUAGUGCGGGCUCCCCCCGCCCCCACUCCCGGCGUCCGGGCAAUUCUUCCUCCUGCCCGCAGAGCCGCGGAGGCCACUGCAUCUCUGCAUCGCCGCGAGAAUCUCCCAAACUUCGGUGGAACUGUCCCUCUGCUUCGGGGACUCCUCAGCGGGGAGAUGGCAGCACUGGGCCAGACCACGCUUGAAAAUGCAGAUGUCCUUCAUUACCUACUCCACACAGGGCCACACUCUUAUGGAGCUCACCUCAGACAGAAAUGAAAUAAGUGAUGGUCUCACUAAACUCCAGAAUAUAGUGCCUACCGGAGCCACAAAUAUGCAGGAAGGAUUUAAAAAGGCAAAUGAGCAGAUUGAACAAGAAAAUGCUAAAGAUCUGGCCUUCUAGUCCUCCAGAUGCUCGUGAUGGCAGGUGCUGAGGUCUGGGCACUUAUCCCUUGGAGAAGGAGGCAACAGUGCUACAAGUCUGAUUAUUGCUCUGAACACAGGACCACUGACACAAAAGGCAUUUGAGGAG